GGGACCUGUACCACUGCUCCCAACCAUUCUGUCUGAGGCGCAGCAAGCCAAAACACUGAAAUGCUGAGGUUUGCAGCAAAGAGGAGGUUUAUUCACAGGGCAGCCAAGCGAGGACGUGACGUGACAAUAGGUCUCAAAUCCGCCUCCCCAAAGGCAAGGGGCUUUGGGUAUCUGUGGGAUAAAGAGUAAAGAAGCAGGGCAGUAUGAGGCAUGGGGAGCGUGAGGAAAGGUGAUUGGAAAAACGUGUGCUCAUCAUUGUUCUGAGCUGGUGUAACUAGGCUACAGGCCUCAGCACAUUCUCAGGCUGGAGUUUUCGGCCCUCUGAUGGCAGGAGGUCAAAAGGCACUUGCCCAAGUGGAAGAUCGGUGGUCCUCUCCACUCUAAACCAGCUCAGCCUAACCAGGCACAGCUGAUUCCAAGUUCCUGGACGAUCACGGGGCAAACAUCUUAUUGCUUAUGCUACAUGCUACUUGGAGGACGUGCAGGUGUUCAAGCUACCUUGAUGAGUGAAGACGGGAUUUGAUUAAUCAUGACACCUUGUUUCACCUCCAGGCGAGCAGAAGAGAGCUGUAGGCUGAGUCUGGCUCCAGGCACCUGGAAUUGGAGGCAGGUGGUUUAAAAACGGGCUCUCCCACCCUCUGUGUGAUAUUAGGCAGGUACCAUUUUG